rnacentral:rRNA from 1 species
UGGGGAAUUUUGCACAAUGGGGGAAACCCUGAUGCAGCGACGCCGCGUGAUUUAGAAGGCCUUCGGGUUGUAAAAAUCUUUUGUAUGGGAAGAAAAUGACAGUACCAUACGAAUAAGGACCGGCUAAUUACGUGCCAGCAGCCGCGGUAAUACGUAAGGUCCGAGCGUUGUCCGGAAUCAUUGGGCGUAAAGGGUACGUAGGCGGAUAAGCAAGUUAGAAGUGAAAUCCUCUAGCUCAACUAUAGUAAGCUUUUAAAACUGCUCAUCUUGAGGUAUGGAAGGGAAAGUGGAAUUCCUAGUGUAGCGGUGAAAUGCGCAGAUAUUAGGAGGAAUACCGGUGGCGAAGGCGACUUGCUGGCCAUAUACUGACGCUGAGGUACGAAAGCGUGGGUAGCAAACAGG